AAGAUGAUGUUUGGCAUUUUAGCAUUCAAGACUCUACAGAAAUGGAUUGCGAGAACGCCUGACCUGAGAAAUUGACACAAGAUUGAGCGGAGGGGAAUGCACUGUUUAAUGAGAAGAAGGCAAAUCACCAAAGAGGGCGGGAGUCCUGCGAUGAGGUUGGGAGGUCGGGAGAAGCUAAGAAGAAGGAGAGAAGAGACUCUACAGUGGGAGAACCACUUUGGGAAGAGCAGGAUCAGCCCCUUUAUCAUUUCGGUUUCCCUCUUCUGCUGCACCUUCUUCAGUUCGACAGUAUCGCUUUUUUGGUAAUCUGGCGACCGGAACGAUACACUUUACUUCUGAGGAACAGCUACAACUGGAAACAAGGUCAGCUUCAUGUUGUUGUUGUUCUUGUUGUUGUUGUUGUUGUUAUAGCCCAGUAAGCUUCCAGACCACCUUGGGUUUAUUCUCUCUUUUUGACAGUUAAAGCACCACAUUUUCAUUGAUGCCAGGAGAUGUUGAACAGUAGGGCACACAUCCUGGGGUGCCUCUGUUAUGGCACAAGAGAUAUUCCCAGACUGAUUGGGCAAGGUUCGGACCACAAUGUGUGUCUGGACAUUUAAAUUUGCAUUCUGAUUGGGCAAGACCUCUAGGGUUUUUAAAUUCUGUCUUGAUCGAAUUGGGCAAGAUCUCUAGGAUUUUUAAAUUGUAUAUGGAAUUGGGCAAGAUCAAGGCCUGUGUGGGCCUCGAUUUUUAAAUUGCAUCCCCCAGCUUGACCUUUACAAUUGUAUUCUGAUUGGGCAAGACCUCUAGGGUUUUUAAAUUCUGUAUGGAAUUGGGCAAGAUCAGGGCCUGUGUGGGCCUCGAUUUUUAAAUUGCAUCCCCCAGCUUGA